GAAAUACCGGUUUCUUUAUGGUUAUCACUAAAGUUAAGCAACAUUGAGCCUGGUUAGUACUUAGAUGGUUGACCACUUGGGAAUACCAGGUGCUGUAAG